AGGUAUUCCCAAAAAGCUACGUCAAAAUUUGCAUCUAGGAGGCUGACCAAUAAUCUGGGCGAGUAACAACAAGGAAAAGACAGUUAGCAGCUGCACACUGUUAUCAUUACUUUGAUACUGCUUAAAGGAAUCUAAACCUUCCACAGACCUUUCAUUGAACAGAGUCAGCAACAAUGAAAACACAAGGUUUGAAACAUUGCUGUCCGCUUGCCAAAAUUUACUCUACAAUUUAAGUAAACCCUCUGCUACUUAAUGUCUGAUAUUUUCUUU